CGCGAAAGGGACUUCGGUCCUGAGUAAAGUGGCGCACGGGUGAGUAACGCGUGGAUAAUCUACCUGAUGGGCAGGGAUAACACUUCGAAAGGGGUGCUAAUACCUGAUAAGACCACGGAGUCUCUGGGCUCUGCGGUAAAAGGUGGGGACCUUCGGGCCUACCGUCAUCAGAUGAGUCCGCGUACCAUUAGCUAGUUGGUAGGGUAAAGGCCUACCAAGGCGACGAUGGUUAGCUGGUCUGAGAGGAUGAUCAGCCACACUGGAACUGAGACACGGUCCAGACUCCUACGGGAGGCAGCAGUGGGGAAUUUUGCGCAAUGGGGGAAACCCUGACGCAGCAACGCCGCGUGAGUGAUGAAGGCCUUCGGGUCGUAAAGCUCUGUCAGAGGG
rnacentral:rRNA from 1 species